rnacentral:rRNA from 1 species
CCUACGGGUGGCUGCAGUGGGGAAUAUUGCACAAUGGGCGCAAGCCUGAUGCAGCCAUGCUGCGUGUGUGAAGAAGGCCUUCGGGUUGUAAAGCACUUUCAGCGGGGAGGAAGGCGGUGAGGUUAAUAACCUCAUCGAUUGACGUUACCCGCAGAAGAAGCACCGGCUAACUCCGUGCCAGCAGCCGCGGUAAUACGGAGGGUGCAAGCGUUAAUCGGAAUUACUGGGCGUAAAGCGCACGCAGGCGGUCUGUCAAGUCGGAUGUGAAAUCCCCGGGCUCAACCUGGGAACUGCAUUCGAAACUGGCAGGCUAGAGUCUUGUAGAGGGGGGUAGAAUUCCAGGUGUAGCGGUGAAAUGCGUAGAGAUCUGGAGGAAUACCGGUGGCGAAGGCGGCCCCCUGGACAAAGACUGACGCUCAGGUGCGAAAGCGUGGGGAGCAAACAGGAUUAGAUACCCUAGUAGUC